GUGAGGAAUUUUCCACAAUGGGCGAAAGCCUGAUGGAGCAAUACCGCGUGAGGGAUGAAGGUUUUCGGAUUGUAAACCUCUUUUAAAUAGGAAGAUUAUGACGGUACUAUUUGAAUAAGCAUCGGCUAACUACGUGCCAGCAGCCGCGGUAAUACGUAGGAUGCAAGCGUUAUCCGGAAUUACUGGGCGUAAAGCGUGUGUAGGUGGCGCGUUAAGUUAAAUGUUAAAUCUAUGGGCUCAACUCAUAGGCCGCAUUUAAUACUGGCGUGCUAGAGGAUGGUAGAGGUAAGCGGAAUUAGCGGUGUAGCAGUGAAAUGCGUAGAUAUCGCUAGGAACACCAAUGGCGAAGGCAGCUUACUGGUCCAUUCCUGACACUGAGACACGAAAGCGUGGGGAGCGAACGGGAUUAGAUACCCCGGUAGUCC
rnacentral:rRNA from 1 species